UACGUAGGGUGCGAGCGUUAAUCGGAAUUACUGGGCUUAAAGGGUGCGUAGGCGGCGCGGAAAGUUGGGUGUGAAAUCCCUCGGCUCAACCGAGGAACUGCGCCCAAUACUACCGUGCUUGAGGGAGAUAGAGGUGAGCGGAACUUAGGGUGGAGCGGUGAAAUGCGUUGAUAUCCUAAGGAACACCGGUGGCGAAAGCGGCUCACUGGAUCUCUUCUGACGCUGAGGCACGAAAGCUAGGGUAGCGAACGGG
rnacentral:rRNA from 1 species